CAAAUCACUGUUAGGGCUCUACUGUACUGAAGAUAAAAGAGAAGUGGAGAGGAAGCAGAAUACAGAGAGGUGAAGUGAUUUGCUCAAGGUCACAUAGAAGAUGUUCUGGAUGAAAUCCCAACGUGAAUACUCUACUUGCAAGAUAGUUUACUCCACUUUGGAUAUGACUUGAAACUGGAAAGAACAAGUAAAAUUUUGGAACCCUUUCAGUUUGGGAUAUAAUAUAGGUGCUCAUGUUGUGGAUUAUAAUGGACAGACAGCCUGACUCCAUCCUACUGUGGGAUGCUUUGAGAGCGCUUGAAUUGACUUAGCUCCCAGGUUUCAUAUGGUUAUCAAUGGCCUUAACAGCCAGCCAAACCGGUAUCACAGGACAUCUGUCUCUUCCAAGACAAAACAGUAGGCAGAGGAUAACAUGUAUCCAACGCUACAGUCUGGCUGCAGCUCCCUCUUUGUCAGCUGCCUGUCUCUAACUGGCUUACCACUCACUGUGAUCAAAUUUCCUUUAUAAUUCUCCUUUAGUCUCAUGUUUUCCUUCUCUUUCUCUCUUAAUUUAUUAAUGAUUUUUCCUCCUCUGCAUUAUCUUUUGAACUCAUUCCAUUCCAUAGAAGUCAUCUUUGCGCCGCCUCAGUCUGCCUUUUUGGAAAGUGAUGUUUCUGCAUGCGUAUGAAAUAAAGGUCUGAAUUUUGAAUGUGCUAGGAAGAGGA